UAACUAAAUGAAUAAAUUAAUUGAUUUUUAUGAUUUAGAAUUUGGAUUUGGGCUUGUGAAUAGUCAACUUCAAGAUAAAAACGUGUUUUAGAAACAAUGGUGGUAUUAGUUUUUCUAAAAAGAUGUUAGUUUUUGAGUUAUAAGAAUUCCUAGCCUUAAAAUCGGAUUUAAAAUUUGAGUGAUUGUGGACCUUUGAUCUAGGUUAGGAAUUUUUUGAUUUAGAUAGUAGAGAUGUAGCCGCAACCUUUGGGCCUCUUUUCACCUAGUUAAGAGAGCUUGGGUGGCCGAGCUCCCUCUCUCUCUUCCUCUUUUUGUAAGGCAAAGCCUUGCCAAAUUGUUUUCAAGCUUUUAAUUCAAGGAACUUUCUUCUAUCUUGUCACCACCUCAAUAUUUUUUUUCUCUCAGUUACUAAAUUUUUUUAUGCUUUGAGCAAUAUUUAGCAC
rnacentral:lncRNA from 1 species